GCAAGAUUUUCGGCCGACCUUAAAGUAAGGGAAAAAUCCCUUAUAUAACAAAGGAGUAAUCCGCUUUAAGAGGAAAAGAAAUAUCUGCGAGAUAGGCAGUUGAUAAGGUAAUGACUUAUCAAGCUUAAGAUUCUCGGAGUCGAAGCUGAAAGGUUGAUCGACCACAUUGGGGAUGAAAAAAUCCCAAGGCAAGCGAGCACAGCAGUGAGGAAUUUUGGUCAAUGGCCUAACGGCUGAACUGGCAAUUUGGAGGAAUGUCCAAUAAUGGAUAAAUCGAUGUCUCGAAUAAAAUUCUAAAUAUAUAAUUGAUAAUGACAAUAUAUAUUUAUGUCUUGACCAAUUACGUGCCAGCAGUCGCGGUAAUACGUUAAAAGACUAGUGUUAUUCAUCAUUAAUAGGUUUAAAGGGUACUCAAACGGUAAAUUUGCCUUAAAAAGGGACAAUUUUUCUAGAGUUUGAUAUAAGGAGGUAGUACUCGUGAGUGGAGAGAUGAUAUUCUUUGAUACCUAGGGGACUGAUUAAGGCGUAGGCAACCUCUUAUGUAUAAACUGACGUUGAAGGACGAAGGCACAGGACACGAACAGGAUUAGGUACCCCAGUAGUCUUUGCAGAGAAUGAUGAAUGCCAUAGGUUAGGUUAACCAAAACUUAGUCUAUAAAUGAAAGUGUAAGCAUUUCACCUCAAGAGUAAUAUGGCAACGUAGGAACUGAAAUCACUAGACCGUUUCUGACACCAGCAGUGAAGUAUGUUAUUUAAUUCGAUGAUCCACGAAAAAUCUUACCACAAUUUGAAUACUUUCAAUAUGUUAGUACAAGUGUUGCACGGCUGUUUUCAGUUAAUGUUGUGAAACUGUGGUUCGGUCCAUAGAAUUAACGAAAACCCUCGCUUUAUUUGUAAAGUUUAUUAUGAUAAAGCAGCUCACCUUUAUAUUGGAUGUGAUAAGAGGGACUAAGACAAGUCAUCAUGGCCUUGAUAUUGUGGGCUAUAGACGUGCCACAUAUUCCUAAACAAAGAGAUGCAAAAAUGCGAAUUUUAGCUAAUCUCAAAAAAUAGGAUAAAAUCGGAUAUGGAUUGUAGUCUGAAAUUCGGCUGCAUGAAUAAGAAAUUGCUAGUAAUCGUGAAUCACUAUGUCACGGUGAAUACAACCUCGGAUUGGUACUAACCACUCGUCACAUGCUGAAAGGAAUUUGUGCAAUAAGUUUGCUCUUCUGUUAUAAGUAAGUAAAGGUACAAGAUUUAGAUAUUAUAAUGGGAUUCUUCGUAUGCGCGGUUCUGAUUAGUGUAAAGUCGAAAUACGGUUCGUGUAGUGGAAGUUGCACGGGAUUGAUUAACUUA
rnacentral:rRNA from 1 species